rnacentral:rRNA from 1 species
AGGGUGAAGCNUUANUCGGAAUUACUGGGCGUAAAGCGUGCGCAGGCGGUUCGGAAAGAAAGAUGUGAAAUCCCAGGGCUCAACCUUGGAACUGCAUUUUUAACUACCGGACUAGAGUAUGUCAGAGGGGGGUGGAAUUCCACGUGUAGCAGUGAAAUGCGUAGAUAUGUGGAGGAACACCGAUGGCGAAGGCAGCCCCCUGGGAUAAUACUGACGCUCAUGCACGAAAGCGUGGGGAGCAAACAGGAUUGGAUACCCUGGUAGUCCACGCCCUAAACGAUGUCAUCUAGCUGUUGGNCCCUUCGGGGCUUAGUAGCGCAGCUAACGCGUGAAGUUGACCGCCUGGGGAGUACGGUCGCAAGAUUAAAACUCAAAGGAAUUGACGGGGACCCGCACAAGCGGUGGAUGAUGUGGAUUAAUUCGAUGCAACGCGAAAAACCUUACCUACCCUUGACAUGUCUGGAAUCCUGAAGAGAUUUAGGAGUGCUCGCAAGAGAACCGGAACACAGGUGCUGCAUGGCUGUCGACAGCUCGUGUCGUGAGAUGUUGGGUUAAGUCCCGCAACGAGCGCAACCCUUGUCAUUAGUUGCUACAUUUAGUUGGAGCACUCUAAUGAGACUGCCGGUGACAAACCGGAGGAAGGUGGGGAUGACGUCAAGUCCUCAUGGCCCUUAUGGGUAGGGCUUCACACGUCAUACAAUGGUCGGGACAGAGGGUUGCCAAACCGCGAGGUGGAGCUAAUCUCAUAAACCCGAUCGUAGUCCGGAUUGCAGGCUGCAACUCGCCUGCAUGAAGUCGGAAUCGCUAGUAAUCGCGGAUCAGCAUNCCGCGGUGAAUACGUCCCCGGGUCUUGUACACACC